GUCCAAGCAAAAUGCUUCCUUUUCCCAACAUAUUUGCCCAUAACUCGAAGAAACAAACGUUAACAGCCAAAAAAAGAGAAGUGGCGUCACGAAUUCAUUUAUGUCCCGUAAACUGAAUAGAACACAUUGUCUAAGAUAAGGGGGAGAAGGGAGGGAGGAGGGGAGAGAAAGCGAAGAGAAAAUAACCUAAGCUGACAUAAACAUUACAUUGCAAAGCAUCUACGUAUGGCAGUUACUGCAAGGACAAGAACUUUCAUCUAUAGGUUAAAAAAAAAUAAGGAUCCCAAUUCAAUCCCAUAUGCGACCACUAAGAUUCUAAAACUGUGAUGCUUGCAUAUUUGCUCCAGACUAAAUCUGGUGAAACUUUGGUCGAAUCCAUCAGCACCCUGUUGGAUUGAAACUGUGUGAUACUUGUAUUUUAUCCACAGAUUAAUCUGGUGAUAAUUUGGUUGAAUCAUUCAGCAGCCUGUUGGAUUCAGACCUUGUGAUACUUGUAUUUUUGCCCCAGAUUAAAUCUAGUCAUACUUUGGUUGAAUCCAUUUAGCACCAGGUUCCUCACUGCCUCAGUCGCUUGUUCUAAUGCUGCAUCAAUCUGUCCAGUAGCAGUUAACAGUCGAUAGGUUUCAGCAAUAAUAUUGGAAAUUCAAAAUGCAGUCAUCCAAAAUGCACUGCUACACUGACCAUGUCCAUAUGCUAUAUAGUAUGCAUGUGCAAAUUCGAGCAUUGGAGUGCUAAGCAAUUGUAUAGAGAUGAAUUCCUCAUGGGACAUUCCACAAUCAUAUAACAUCAAGUAAAACUGUUUUAUCUAGCCACCUUAACAACAAGAUGUUUCACAUAUAACAGGCAUUUGAAUGGUUUUUCAUAAAAUAACUUUGAAAAUUUUUCAUGACAUAGCAUGCCUCAAAUAUUCUCAAUGAUUUAAACUCAGCCAAAGAAAAAGGAGAAAACAAUUUAUCGUGGAGUUUUAUACAGCAAUUACAUACUUGUUCUCUCUCUGUUAAACUGAACUUCUGUAGAAGAAAAGCUUUCAUGUCCAUGGUGCCAGGUGGAUUUCCAAUACCUUCAAGAAAGAAAAUUUUAAUGUUUCAUAGAGAAGUUAACAUCCUCAACUAGAUAAAAUAUUCAUGUCAAAAACAAGGAAUAAACGCGAACAACCAACCUAUACACAAUCGAGGAAAUUCACGACAACCAUCCAGAUGGUCGAUCACAUUCUUCACUCUGUAGCAAGAUAUCCAAUGUUAAAGUUCAAUUUAUCACAUGUUAAACUUCAAUUUAUCACCUGGUUUAGGAAAAGACAAUAAAUGCAGAAUUUUCUAGUCACUUAUGUCCCCUAUGGAUGCAACGACAUGAAGACGUCAUCAUCAAUUAUACUAAAGAAUUUGAAAAAAUGUAGUAAGGAAAUUAUUGGUGGAUUUUGAAAAUCUCACCCCUGCACGGAAAGAAAUUGUAGAGUAAUAUUAAUGCAGUGACUCUCAGUAACUGAGAUCAUUUGCUUUUCCUGAGAUUUGAGAUGCAAGGAUUCACCUUGUAAUAGAUAUAGGGGCUAUAGGUCUGGUCACAUGCAGAGUUUAUCUUUUCCAAAAGGUCAAAUGACAAAGCAGGUUCAACCAAUUUGGUGAAAGAAGGAAAAUCAAGUUAGACUACAUCUUACUAAAACCUAUAGCCUAUAAGAGGAUGUAAUCACACAAAGUAUGUUUAUUGUUUUAACUUUUAAAUGAUAUGGAGGAAUAAAACACUGUUUCAUGAAAGUUUAUCAUUUAAUAGUCAACUUCAUAGAAACAUGCAAGUGAAAAAUGAGAUUGGACUGAAAAACAUACCCAUUAUGAUGGCCAUGUCCUCC
rnacentral:misc_RNA from 1 species